UUCUUAUCAAGAGUGACCGAGGGAGAGGCCCGUUGACGUCACAGCAACCUUCCUGAUGGAGUGGUGCUAAUUCCGGCAGAAUGAAACACAUUCUGGGAGAUAAGGG
rnacentral:ncRNA from 2 species